rnacentral:rRNA from 1 species
CACGUAGGGGGCGAGCGUUGUCCGGAUUUAUUGGGCGUAAAGAGCUCGUAGGCGGUUUCGUAAGUCGGAUGUGAAAACUCCAGGCUCAACUUGGAGACGCCAUUCGAUACUGCGAUGACUUGAGUCCGGUAGGGGAGUGUGGAAUUCCUGGUGUAGCGGUGAAAUGCGCAGAUAUCAGGAGGAACACCGGCGGCGAAGGCGGCACUCUGGGCCGGUACUGACGCUGAGGAGCGAAAGCGUGGGGAGCGAACAGG